UAAUGACUUAAAAAAAAAAAGUAAAAUGAAGAAGCAGCCAAGUCCUCCAUGUCUGCUCUCAUACCACGACUGGAUUUACUCAUCAACAGAUCCAGGGAGCUGCAGCACCAAAGCAACUGGCCUGUGACCUCAUGGAUCUGGGGAUAAACCAGAAUAAACAAGCCCUAUAGUCCCAAUUAUCUAUUUUUUGCCUCUUUAAUUUCUUUUCUAAAGCUAAGGAGCAUCUCCUGACUGAAAUGCUUGAAGACUGAGGACGUAAUGAUAUUCUUUAAUUGCACAAGUCCUUUGUCAUCUUUAUCUCAACCCAGAGGAGACUGGGUUUGUGGAGGAGCUAUGGCCUUUAUGUGAGGUGUGCUGAUGUAGCUGGGAAAACAGCUACAAAUUCUGUUGCACAAACCCUUCCUCUUGGGAGUGCUCUCUUCUGCUGGAAGACCAAAUGUGUUUAGGGCAUGCAGUGUGUCCCUGCCUGCAUAUUUGGUGAAAAUGUUUGGGCAUUAUUUUGUGACUGUUCCUUUCUUUACUGUUAUGCUUACGUGCGGCCCACUCGAACCUUCCAUCACCCACUGUCCCAUGCACUGUCGGGCUGUGAGUAGAUGUAAUUGCAAAAGUGAAUCACACUUUAAUGACAAAUGCUUCAAAAACCAAGCUAUAAAAUUCUUGACUCAGUUAUUAACUUUAAAUGAAUUGUUUAGGUUGUUUCCUUCCACACCCCCCACCCCCAUUAACUUAUUCUUGAGGGGAAUGUAUUUAUGGAGCCAUGUGCUUCUCACAUGGUUGAGGCUAAAAAUAGCUUUAGAAACUCAUUCCAGCUAAAACUUAAUUUAAAAUCCAGUUUGUCAGCCUAACACAUUGGUCUUUUAGCUUGGUUUCUUUAUUUGUAAUGAUAGCCUUGACCAGUCUUUCAAGCGCUGAUUAUUUCCUAUACUGCUCCUCUAUUAAAAAUAUAUAAAUAAACACACUCUUGAGCUCAAGGACACCCCCAAAUUACAUACAAAAUUUAUUUUCUCUGUCCAUGGCCUGGACUUCCACCUGGGCAACAAGCAAACUUACUCUCAUAAAUACACAUGUGCACUGUGGAGACAUCAGCUCAGGUUUUUUGCUUGGUUUGGGUUUUUUGAAGGAGAGAGAAGCUUAUCAGUCAUUGCAAGUAUAUUGUCUAAGUACUGAAUUGUUUCUCCCAUGUUCUUUUUUUGUCAGUGAUCAGCAAAUCAGAUGCUUCAAAAUGUCUGAACCCUCAUGGGUCAAAUCCUUCUUAUGUUUAUUUCAAUAUGAGUUUUGCCACUCACUUUAAAGCAGAUGCUGUAGCCCAUAAUAGACAAUUGCACAAUUCCUGGAUGAAAGGGAUGUUUUCUCCUUGCCCUAGAUAAUUAAGUCCAAUGCAGAAUCUUCCAUUCCCAUCAGUAGUUUGUUGGUUUUUUUUUUUUAAAUUGGUCUUGAGAUGACUGUAUCCUGAGCUUCAAGGGUUGAAAUCCUUUAGAAAAGAGAUUUUCUGCCUGUAGUUUAUGAAUCUGUGGGGCAGCAACAGGCAGCUGAAGAAAACAAAAGUAAUGUCAGUAGGCUCAGGAACUGCACAGGGAUCCAUGCAGCAUUCCACAUUAAAAAACAGAUGGAACACCACUGAUUUUCCUAAUAUUAUGCUAUACAAGGGAGAGAUUUUUGUCACAUAGGAAUGCUUAGAUUUGCUGAGAAAUUUUUUGUUCUUCUAGUUUCAACACUUUUGUCUGAUUCCCAGUACUCAUUUCUACAGUGUUAGGCAUUAUUUAUUUAAAAGUAUGGUCCUUUUUGCUUCCAGAAUUCAUGUCAAUUAAUGAUGCUGCAUUCUCUUUGUCCAAUAGGAUGGAAGAGGUAAUUUCCCUUUGUGCAAACCAGUUGCUGUUUUACUUUUCAAUCCACUUGUAUGUCUGCUCCUUUCCUUCCUUUUCAUCUAGGUCACUCCUCACAUGGGAAAGUUCCUAUUUUCCUUCAGCUUUGUUUAGCUUUAUCAGUUUUGGGUUGCCUGCUAAAUUUAGCAAUCACUUCUUAGGUUUAUAUAUACAUGUGUGUGUGUGUGAAUUUUUCUGAUUAGUCUACUUUUUAAAAAUUUACUGUUUAAAUAAUUUUCAGUCAGUGGCAGAAUUUUGCCCUUUCAGCCCUGAUUGUUCAGUUCAUGUCAUCAGCUUUAGCAGGAGUCUCUCUGCAAGCCCAGAUAACCAUUGUCUGCUAUUGUGCUGAAACAAUCAAAGAAUGUCAGUGGGCUGGAGAAGUAUCAGAUAUAUUUUUAUGUUUUUCUUGCAAGUCCUCUAUUGCUUUAAGGAUUGUAUCAACUAUUUGAUUUGAUACUGGCUUCUACAAUAAGUAGAUGCCAUCACAGAUAUAUCCACUGCCCUACUCAAACCAGAACUGUUUGUAGUCCUGCUGCUUCUUAGAGGAUUGCCAUGUGUUUACUACAGACAGAAUUAAAGCUGCCAUAAUUCACUAAUUUGCAAAGAUACUGUAGGUUUGAUAACGACAAGAAGGAGACAAAGCAGAGCAAUUUAAAAACUUACAGAUCCUUUCUCCCCCAAGAUGGUGUCUAGUUAUAAUCAGUUUUUCAGGGAGUCAUUUAACAUAAGUGAAUUUGCUUGGGAUUCUUGGGGCAGGUUGCAGGCUCAGCACCUUUAACCAUCGCUGUUUUUGUUCAUGAGUCUACAAUCAGCAGCUUGAAUUUCACACACAUCCAAUUGAUCUCUUCACACCUAAUGUCUCUAAUCGCAUUUUUAAGCAGGAAUGACCAUGCUUUCCAGUCCUUUUAUAUCCUGUAUCUGGUUUACAC
rnacentral:lncRNA from 1 species